GGUUGCCUAGGCCUCUCUCAGCUGCACGGCCUCUCAGACCUCCUGCUGAGACAUCUGCGGUGUGCCCCUCACAUCUCUCUGUUCGCCGCACAGGGCCCUUUAAAGGCUUCAAUCCGGGUCUAGAUCGAAAAUAGGAUUGAAAUAGAACUCUAACAACACCUCGGCCAUUCGAUCAGCAUCCCAAAUCACCUGAUCAUGCCCGCAUGCUAUUCGAACCAUCCGAUCAUGCACCAAACCAUG
rnacentral:lncRNA from 1 species